GGAAUAAAAGGAAGGAAAGUCGGUUUAUAGCGCCGAAUAUUCUCCGCCAAGGGCGAAUGAGGACGCGGCUUGAUUCUCGCGGCGACGCCGUUCGGAAGACGCGUUUACCCCGGGUCAACGAUCACCUUUGAGGAGAUGCGUCCCCACGAUUUACUCAAUCUGGGUGGGGGGUUCAUUUCAGACAGAUUAGACAGAGGGUUGGGCAGGAAUAAUACAGAAGCGAAGGCGAACCGUUUAUUUUAACCCAAAGGCCCCUCCGUUCGUUGGAACGGCGAUUUACUUCCGAGUAAAGAGCUCUUGGGAAUCUUCACUCCAAGGCAAAACUUAAUCCCGGGAGUUCAGAGGCCCACUCUGGAUGUGAUGUGCGAGGGAGAGCCUGUGAGCAGAGAAGCAACACCUGGCUGCGUUCACAAGAUACGCCAGCCCAGCUCACGCUAGCUAGCGGAUUGCUUUUUAGUCCCGGGUUCGAGUGCAAAUCCUGGAAACGGAGCGAAGCAAACGACCGCCGUAUCCCAGAGCCGUCGUUAGGAUUGAAAAGGGAGAAGAAAAAACGGGAAGAAGGCACCAUUCCAGAAAAAAAGGGGUUUUAAUUCGAAUAUAUAGGAAACCCAAGCGUCUCCUCCCUCCUUCCGUUCGUUAUUGAGAUGAUUUUUAAAUAAUAUGGAGGGGGGAAUAAUUCAAAACGCUAAUAGCGGAGCGGUUUGGGUGCGCUUUACUUAAAAGUAAGCGUGGCUGGGCGCCAACC